UACGUAGGGGGCAAGCGUUGUCCGGAAUCAUUGGGCGUAAAGAGCGUGUAGGUGGCUCGGUAAGUCCGCUGUGAAAGUCCAGGGCUCAACCCUGGAAUGCCGGUGGAAACUGUCGAGCUAGAGUCCGGAAGAGGCGAGUGGAAUUCCUGGUGUAGCGGUGAAAUGCGCAGAUAUCAGGAGGAACACCAAUGGCGAAGGCAGCUCGCUGGGACGGUACUGACGCUGAGACGCGAAAGCGUGGGGAGCAAACAGG
rnacentral:rRNA from 1 species